rnacentral:tRNA from 1 species
ACCUGGGUGGCUCAGCCAGUUGAGCAUCUGACUUCAGCUCGGGUCAUGAUCUCACGGUCUGUGGGUUCGAGCCCCACGUCAGGCU